UGGUUCCAGAAUGCUCAGUUACUCACU
rnacentral:piRNA from 1 species